UACAGAGGGGGGCAAGCGUUGUUCGGAAUUACUGGGGCGUAAAGGGCGCGUAGGCGGCCUGCUAAGUCGAACGUGAAAUCCCUGGGCUCAACCUAGGAACUGCGUCCGAUACUGGUUGGCUUGAAUCCGGGAGAGGGAUGUGGAAUUCCAGGUGUAGCGGUGAAAUGCGUAGAUAUCAGGAGGAACACCGGUGGCGAAGGCGGGGUCUCUGGGCAGUAACUGACGCUGAGGAGCGAAAGCGUGGGGAGCGAACAGG
rnacentral:rRNA from 1 species